ACCCGGACGAUCUGCCGCUACAACAACAACAACAAAAGGUCUCCGUUUGAACGUCGACUUAGUUGCGAUCGCAAUAGCAAUAUAAAAUCACAGUGAUUUAAAAAUAGCAAUCACUGAAAUCACAGUGAUUUAAAAAUCGCAAUAUCGCUCAUCUCUAGUACCAAACGAGGUUAGUUCAACAAUGAUACGACAUCUUAUUUCGCGCGAUGAGUCUGUGAAACACUUGCUUGAUGACAAGGUCAUUGACUAUAUUCAAAUGCAUGGACUAUUUAAUUUUAAAACGUAAGUUACACUCAUUUAUAAAAUAUUUUAUACAUGUCUAUUUACUUGAGUACUCAAGGUGAGUGUCGGAAGUUUUAUUUUCAUAGAAAAAUAUAAAGAGGCCAUCGAGAAAAUGCUGCAGGAAAAGAAGAUCUCAAGCAAAAUCAAUUAUGAUAUUUUGCGUACGUUGACGGAAGGUAGUGUAACUGCUGUCCGCACGACAGCCACAGAGGUUGCGAUAAGGCUUUAGAUGUGAAAAAUGUGCCAAUCAUUGAAACGGGACCCAUUAAGCACAAGAAUAGUCGCGCCAAACAAGCUUACAAAAUUGGUGGAGCGGCAGACAAAAUGCCUAAAUUAGAGAUGGGUCUGCCCGUGGCAGAAGAAGCGGCAACACCAACGAAGCAGUAGCCGGUGGUUAUCGAGAAUGAUGACCUGGAUGAGUGCGUCGAUGAUGCAGAUGCGGACGGCGAUGCUGAGGUAGAGCCUGAACCGGAACGUGAAUAUUCCUCGCUGUAGGAUAUGCUGAACGAUGGUGAAGAAGAUGAUUACUACGGCUACGACGACUAUUGACCGCCAUUUGGAAAUAUUUGCUUCCUAAUAGAGGUCUAUGGAGUUCCAUAUGCUAUUACACGAGCGAAUCAUACUUUAUUGUAGUAUGCCAGCUAACUUACUUAUACAAGUAUACUAGCAAUAUUUAUAUACAUUUAGCUAUUACAGCUUAGAUAUUUUUCUUUAAUAUGAUCACGUGACGAAAACAAUUAUCUAUGGAUCUCUCAUAUAAUCUGCAUUUGACUUACUUUAAAGCGCAACAUCAGCGACAAACUACUACUACUAUUUAAUUACAAACGAAAAAAUAUACAAUGUUUCUCAUAAUAAAAUAGUCACAGGUUACACGUUGUGCUUUGCAGUUUGUA